CAGCCCUGGGCGUGGUGCCGGCCGUGCCCUCUGCGCAGACCACGGGCCGGCAGUAUGUGCACCCGCCACUCACGCGCCAUGAGCCAGGGCACUUUGGAAGCUGGCGGCCCCCUCUGGGGCUGGGAUUGGGACGGUGACGAUGACUGGGAAGGAGCUGUGCUGGCCCUGCUGGCCCUGGCUGUGGUGGCCGCCACAGCGCUGGCUUUGCACUGGUUUGGCCCCGGGCAGGAUCAGCAGGCAGCAAGACCGGAGUCCUCAGCCCCCGGGACCCAGCCUGCCCAGGCGGGAGGAGCCAGGCCGACUCUGCACCCAAAGCCCAAGGUCAGUGGUGGCCACGAGGGACAGAGCCCAGGGCAGGGGAAGCCAGGUCCUCUGGGAUGUGGCCAUGGGGGCCAGGCUGCGGCAGGAGCCCAGGGCUGCGAACCCUCUGGAGGUGGGGACCUACACCCCAAAGCCAGGCUUCUGCCCAAGACCCCGGGCGAGGCGCUCGGCAGAGGGACCUUGGGACAGCAGCAUGGCGGCGCCACCCCAGAAGCCCCCGGAGGUAGAAGAAGGGAGCCCCUGGAGCUAAGCACUGCCCUCUUGGGUGGGAGCCAAGCAGGGGGCGCGCCUGCCCCGGUCGUGAUCCACUUCACCCCGCGAAGUCCUGGCAGCGAAGCCGAUGUGCAGCCGGAGGUGGGACGCGUCAGCACCAAGGGCCCAGAGCACCGGGACUCCAGCCGCUGGCAGCUGGGUGCGGGGCUUCCUGGAGCACCAGAGCGAGGCCGGGGCAGCCGGCGGCGGCACAGGGACGCAGGCUCCGGGGACAGAACCCGCCACCGCCCGAAGCCCGACCCACGCCGUCUGGGCACGGUGGCCAGCGUGUGGGACGCAGUGGAUGCGGCGUCUGCUGCUGCCGACUCUGGCGCUCACGCUCGCAGCCCCUGCGCUCAGCGCCCUGCAGUCCAGGAGCUGUCUCCGGGCCGCGCCCCGUACACUGGAUCUGGGUCCGACAGCCCGGAGGGCAGACGAGGGAAGAGCAGCCGCCAGCCAGCCCCAGCCCCAGGUC
rnacentral:lncRNA from 1 species